rnacentral:rRNA from 1 species
GACGAACGCUGGCGGCGUGCUUAACACAUGCAAGUCGAACGGAAAGGCCCUGCUUUUGUGGGGUGCUCGAGUGGCGAACGGGUGAGUAACACGUGAGUAACCUGCCCUUGACUUUGGGAUAACUUCAGGAAACUGGGGCUAAUACCGGAUAGGAGCUCCUGCUGCAUGGUGGGGGUUGGAAAGUUUCGGCGGUUGGGGAUGGACUCGCGGCUUAUCAGCUUGGUGGUGGGGUAGUGGCUUACCAAGGCUUUGACGGGUAGCCGGCCUGAGAGGGUGACCGGCCACAUGGGGACUGAGAUACGGCCCAGACGCCUACGGGAGGCAGGAGUGGGGAAUAGUGGACAAUGGGCGGAAGCCUGAGGCAGCAACGCCGGGUGCGGGAUGAUGGCCUUCGGGUGGUAAACCGCUUUCGCCUGGGACGAAGCGUGAGUGACGGUAAUGGGUAAAGAAGCACCGGCUAACUACGUG